GGCGGCGUGCAGCCAUUUCCGGUUUCGGGGAGGUUGGAGGGGUGCGGAGCGGGACUUGGAGGCGCUGCCGUUUCGGCCGCCGCUUACGGAUCCUAGCUUGCGCCUAGUGCUGCCGAGACGAUGCGGACGGAGCCCGGAGGCUGCUGCUGCCGUCGCCCGCUGCGGGCGAACGACUGCGUGGCGAACGGGGAGGUGCGCAACGGGUACGUGAGGAGCAGCGCCGCUACUGCCGCAGCCGCUGCCGGCCAGAUACAUCAUGUUACACAAAACGGAGGACUAUAUAAAAGACCAUUUAAUGAAGGUUUUGAAGAGACGCCAAUGCUGGUCGCUGUGCUUACUUAUGUGGGGUAUGGUGUCCUCACUCUCUUUGGAUAUCUUCGAGAUUUCUUAAGGCAUUGGAGAAUUGAAAAGUGUCACCAUGCAACAGAAAGAGAAGAACAAAAGGACUUUGUGUCAUUGUAUCAGGAUUUUGAAAACUUCUAUACAAGGAACCUCUACAUGAGGAUUAGAGACAACUGGAAUCGGCCCAUCUGCAGUGUGCCUGGGGCCAGGGUGGACAUCAUGGAGAGACAGUCUCAUGAUUACAACUGGUCAUUCAAGUACACAGGGAAUGUAAUUAAAGAUGUUAUAAACAUGGGUUCCUACAACUAUCUUGGGUUUGCACGGAAUACUGGACCAUGUCAAGAGGCAGCUGCCAAAGUCCUGGAGGAAUAUGGGGUUGGAGUGUGCAGCCCUCGGCAGGAAAUUGGAAACCUGGACAAGCAUGAAGAACUAGAGAAGCUUGUGGCAAGUUUCUUGGGAGUGGAAGCUGCUAUGACAUAUGGCAUGGGAUUUGCAACAAACUCAAUGAACAUUCCUGCUCUUGUUAGCAAAGGUUGCCUGAUUCUGAGCGAUGAGCUGAACCAUGCAUCACUGGUUCUAGGAGCCAGACUCUCAGGAGCAACCAUUCGAGUCUUCAAACACAACAAUAUGCAAAGCCUAGAGAAGUUGUUGAAAGAUGCCAUUGUUUAUGGUCAACCUCGGACACGAAGGCCCUGGAAGAAAAUUCUAAUCCUUGUGGAGGGAAUAUAUAGCAUGGAGGGAUCUAUUGUUCGCCUUCCUGAAGUGAUUGCCCUUAAGAAGAAAUACAAGGCAUACUUGUAUCUAGAUGAAGCUCACAGCAUUGGGGCUCUGGGCCCUACAGGACGAGGUGUGGUGGAUUACUUUGGCCUGGAUCCUGAGGAUGUGGACAUUAUGAUGGGAACAUUCACAAAGAGCUUUGGUGCUUCUGGAGGAUACAUCGGAGGCAAGAAGGAGCUGAUCGACUAUCUGCGGACACAUUCUCAUAGUGCAGUGUACGCCACGUCACUGUCACCACCUGUUGUGGAGCAGAUCAUCACUUCUAUGAAGUGCAUCAUGGGGCAGGAUGGCACCACCCUUGGCAAAGAGUGUAUACAGCAGUUAGCUGAAAACGUCAGAUAUUUCAGGAGACGUCUGAAAAAUAUGGGCUUCAUCAUCUAUGGAAAUGAAGAUUCUCCAGUGGUGCCUCUGAUGCUCUACAUGCCAGCCAAAAUUGGCGCCUUUGGACGGGAGAUGCUAAAGCGGAAUAUCGGUGUAGUUGUGGUAGGAUUUCCUGCUACCCCAAUCAUUGAGUCCAGAGCCAGGUUUUGCCUGUCGGCAGCUCAUACCAAAGAAAUGCUUGAUACUGCUUUAAAGGAGAUAGAUGAAGUCGGGGACCUAUUGCACCUGAAGUAUUCCCGUCAUCGGUCAGUACCUCUAUUGGACAGGCCCUUUGACGAGACUACAUAUGAAGAAACAGAAGACUGAGCCUUUUGGUGCUCCCCUAAAGGAACUCUCCCUCACCCAGGAGUGUGUGUGGCCUUUCCAGUCCAGUUGCAGGAACCACACUUCUUGUGCAAGAGAUUUCCUCAACUACUGAUGGUGGCCACCUCCACUCUAAAUGAUAUUUUGUAAAUAGUGAAAAACUGCUUCACAUCCUUCCUUUGCUACAUCACCUUUAAAAAAAGAGGAUCCUAGUUCCCCGACCACGGAUCAAACCCGCGCCCCCUGCAGUGGAAGCGCGGCGUCUUAACCACUGAACCGCCAGGGAGGUCCCUCCUGGUUCUCUUGUAUAAAGAAUUGCUGUGCCCUAAUUCCCAGGGUGUCUUUCCUGGUGUUCUAGGUAAGCCAGAAUAGGUUUUAAUCUGUACUUGCUAUAACCCAUGUGGUUAGAAAAAAUGGGAAAGUUGUGGUUUUCCUUCUGUCCACUUUCAUGAAGGUCAAGCACUGUUGAGUACUUCACACAGGUAAAAUCAUCUUAGCCCAAAGGAGUUACGAAGGGGGAGUUACGAAAAUCAAAGGAUUCUUCUUGGCUCUUGAGCAGCUGUUUGCUUAAUCCGUUAAGCCAGUUAAUUAAAACACCUUCCACGUAAAGAAAACCUUGUCCACUCUCUCUUCAGCUUUAUCCACAUGAAAUGCAGUGUUCAGGCUCCUAGCCAUUUGCCAUGUGCCCAGAUAGCUGGGUUAGAAGGCUGGCUUCCUCCCUUAUCAUACAGAGGAAAUGCCAGGACUAGCCAUUGAUCCCUUUGCUUUUAAUGUGUAGAAAAUGCUGUUGCCCCUUUUGUCAUUUCUAGUGACUUCUGUUUUCUAAGCACCUCUUGCUAUAGAUUGAGCCUUUUCUAGGGAGGAAACCGAAGGGGCUAGCUCGAGCCCUUAUUGGAAAUGUUUAUUCUGAUGUCUCUGCUGAGUCUGAGGUAUCACAUUCCCAGUCAUCCUUGGGACUGACUUGGGGGAGCUGUGGGCAGGGUCUCGUUUACUGUGUAGUACAUGUGAUAAAUGGCCUUAUAAACUUGUGAUUUUUUGUGGUAUGAUGAGCUUAUUAAACUGACCAUAAAGAAUUUAGUGGCUCUUAAACUGCCUUUACUGUGUUUUUAAUGAAGCACACCAAAAGCUCUGUUCUUUUGGAGCAGUUAUGGGGAGAUUGAAUGAAAGGUAAAAAUCAGAGCAGUGCCCUGAUGUGCCAAGUGUCCUGCCUUGUUGCUGUCUGCAUGGAUAGUGGAUCCUUCCAUACACAAGGAGCCUUAAGCCCACUCAGUGUCUGCUUUUUCCAACACAGUUGCCGAGUUUCUUGUGCAAAGCUUUGUCGUUUGGCCCAGGCCUUCCAAGGAAGUGUGGGACAUAUCACUGACUAGGGGGGAGUGGUGACUUGUCUUCACCCUUGAUGUUAGGUCUUGUUACCUCAGUGGUGUUGAUGGUUGGAACGAUAAAAAGCAUCCUGGAUGGUUCUUCACAGGAUCCUAGUGAGAUCACCAUGUCAGCCAGCAUGCCAACAGUCUUGAUGAUCCCUCUCUGGAUAAAGGUAGCUAACAUUAAGAGAAGGGGGAAAGAGAUAAAAUAAGAAUAGAGAAAUAUCUUAUGGAGAGCCGAGAUCUUAUUUUGUUGGCCCAUAUUUUUUCAUUCCUGUAAACUGGAAUUUGCAAGAGGUGCUGUGAUAACCCUUCUCCAGUCCUUUAAUGCUCAUAUAAUCUGAGAAGGAGAAGGGGAAAUAUAAAUAAAACCUUUUAAAAUUUAGUAUUGUGUUAAAAUGUCACUCUCUCCCUUACCCACCCACCCCCCAUCUCCCUUUUUUGCCGGAUGAUUUUUCGUUGCUGUUGUUGUUGGAUGACUGUCAAGCUAUAAAUGAUGGGUUGGGGGAGGUGUAUCCAUUUUGAGAGUGCCUGUUAAGAGCUGAAGGGGAACUACUUGAGAUGACUUAAGAAUCAUCCCAUGAAAUAUAUUGUUUUGUUCCAAUAAAAUACUCUGA